rnacentral:rRNA from 1 species
AGGACGAACGCUGGCGGCGCGCUUAACACAUGCAAGUCGAGCGACGAAAGGCCCUUCGGGGCCCUGAAAGCGGCGAACGGGUGAGUAACACGUGGGUAACCCACCCUCGGUUUCGGGAUAGCCCGGGGAAACCCGGAUUAAUACCGAAUAGCCUCUCCGGUCUUAGGACUGGUGAGAAAAGGUAGCUUCGGCCUCCGACCGAGGACGGGCCCGCGGCCGAUUAGCUUGUUGGUGGGGUAAUGGCCCACCAAGGCAACGAUCGGUAGCUGGUCUGAGAGGACGAUCAGCCACACUGGGACUGAGACACGGCCCAGACUCCUACGGGAGGCAGCAGUGGGGAAUCUUGCGCAAUGGGCGAAAGCCUGACGCAGCGACGCCGCGUGGGGGAGAAGGCCUUAGGGUUGUAAACCUCUUUCAGGUGGGACGAAGCCACUCGAGUUAAUAGCUCAGAGGGUGACGGUACCGCCAGAAGAAGCCCCGGCUAACUACGUGCCAGCAGCCGC